ensembl:lncRNA
GGUGGGAUUUAUAGUCAUGAAGAAAGAAUACACAGACACUCACACCAAUGUACCUUUAUCCUUUUCCAGGGAAAGAGUCUCUCCCAAAAUAACCAAAGAGCUUGUUAUUUGUUAGAAGAAUUAUAGAGUGGAGUUCCUUGGGAGUAACCUGGGACAUGAGAGUCUCAAAACCAGAAUCUACUAGUGAUCAGUUUGGAUCUACAGGUAAAUCCCGUAUAAUGAGUUGCUGGCACCAUUUUUCAAAUCUGAUAUCUACCUUUGGCCAUUUUCAAUGCAAGAACUGAAUAAACACAAGAAAUAAGAAGACCAUUUGAGAAGAGCAGAUAGUUGCCUUAAGAAAAUCUCCAUUCAUCUGUACUCUGGGAUUUGGACUCAAAUCGUAAUUAUACAGUAAGUGAAAUGAACAUAGUCUUUAUAUUAAUCUAAUGCAGAGUUGCAAAAC